rnacentral:rRNA from 1 species
CCCGCUCAGAAACUUAAAGGAAUUGACGGGGCCCGCACAAGCGGUGGAGUAUGUGGUUUAAUUCGAUGCAACGCGAAGAACCUUACCAGAUCUUGACAUCCAAUUGACCAUCUUUUAAUCGAGAUUUUGCCUUCGGGUACAAUUGAGACAGGUGGUGCAUGGUUGUCGUCAGCUCGUGUCGUGAGAUGUUGGGUUAAGUCCCGCAAUGAGCGCAACCCUUGUGUUUAGUUGCAAACAGGUCAAGCUGUGCACUCUAGACAGACUGCCGUGGACAACACGGAGGAAGGUGGGGAUGACGUCAAAUCAUCAUGCCCCUUAUGAUCCGGGCUACACACGUGCUACAAUGGCCGGUACAACGGGCAGCGAAGGAGCGAUCCGGAGCGAAUCCUAAAAAGCCGGUCCCAGUUCGGAUUGCAGGCUGAAACUCGCCUACAUGAAGUUGGAGUUGCUAGUAAUCGCGAAUCAGAAUGUCGCGGUGAAUGCGUUCCCGGGUCUU